UCCGUAGGCAGCAAGCGUUGUUCGGAGUUACUGGGCGUAAAGGGUGCGUAGGCGGCUUUUUAAGUCUGGUGUGAAAUCUCCCGGCUCAACUGGGAGGGUGCGCCGGAUACUGAGGGGCUAGAGUGUGGGAGAGGAAAGUGGAAUUCCUGGUGUAGCGGUGAAAUGCGUAGAUAUCAGGAGGAACACCGGUGGUGUAAACGGCUUUCUGGACCAUAACUGACGCUGAGGCACGAAAGCGUGGGUAGCAAACAGG
rnacentral:rRNA from 1 species